AGGCACCCAGUGCAACUUUCGAGGCCAAAAUGAACAUUAAAUUUCUAGUUUUUUUUACACGUAGUAUAUUUCAAUAACUCCCUACCAUUACAUAUCGACAUUCAAGGAGCGAAGAUGAGACGUCGUUGUGUGGUGAGAACUGAUAGAAAAUCGUAAACAAAAACAAUGUGCACCAUGUUCUUUAUUUAUUGUAACCUACAAAAAAUAAACAGGAUUCCAGUCGGCAAGCCUCGGAGUUUUCCGAAGUUCCGAACACGUGACGUCGCUAUUUACAAGAUGGCGGAUCGAAGUUGUUCAGCGACGAUGGCGAAGCCGAAUAGAAAGCGUGGUCGACCUCGUCUUUUCACGACACCAGAGAGAAAAAAAGAAGUUUUAUAAGAUGCUUGGGCGUCGUGUGUUCUUGGGCGACACAUUUGUCGAAUGGAGGAAUUUAAGAGAGAAGCUCGGGAUGAACAGGGACAGCGAACUUGCGCGUGUGCUGUUGGACAUGUUUGUAAUUACUGAAAACUGUAUUCAAUUACAGGCAUGUAAGUACUAACGAAACAAAACUAACUAAAGAAACGAAUGUAUGGUUUAUGAACAGUUUUCAGGCGACAGGUCAGCCCACCGCCAUCAACAGUGUUCCAAGGUCGUCCAGUCCACAGGCCACAUGGCAGCCCCCGCGUUUUGACGAUGUGUCCAGUGUGAGUGGACACUCAGAAAGUGGUACAGCUUUCAUCUCCCAACCUCUCGUCAAUGACCCUGGAAAUGAAAAGGAGAGCAAUGUGCUGGAAAACACCCAGGAAGACUUGACAAUAUCAUGCAUAGAGCCAGAGCUGCAGUCUGUAGAGAGCAGGGAAGACUUGACAUUGUCAUGCAUAGAGCCAGAGCUGCAGUCUGUAGAGAGCAGGUACUAUUUCUUUCUUUUUGAAGAUGACACAAUAUCAGUAUACUAGUAUUUUACUAGUAAGUCUAACCAUAACCAUAACACAAUCUGUUUUCUUGCAGGGAAGACUUGACAUUGUCAUGCAUAGAGCCAGAGCUGCAGUCUGUAGAGAGCAGGUACUAUUUCUUUCUUUUUGAAGAUGACACAAUAUCAGUAUACUAGUAUUUUACUAGU